CUAUACUGAAUAUUGUAUUUUAUUAUUUAUGAUUAUUGAUUACAUGUAUUGUUAUUGAUUUAUUGUCCAGUCCUAUGUUGUGUGCUUAGUAGUUCAAAUUUGAUGGACACCUCAAAGCCGAGCCUUCAGAUGAAACCAGUUAAGUUUUUUAGAUUGUUUAAAAACACAUUUAACACGCAAAGACUGACAGAAAUCAGCUUUUUUGGGGGGAUGUCAAAUCAUUCAUAAAAUAAUACAUUUUAGUUGAUCAUCUGGAUGUUUUCUAAGCAUGUAAACAUAUUUUUCAUUUCUGGUUUGGACUGAUUCUGAAUUUUGUGAUCAAUAGUCGUGUAUCAAUGAUAUGUGACCUUCUGACAAUAUCGAUAGUAUUUUAGAAAACAACAAAAAGCACAUGGAUGGUUUCAUAAUAAUGACGGAAGAGAUAAGCAUCAUAUUUCUGCUUUAAGGUGAGUCCAAAGGGGAAAGUGUUUUCCAGUGUUGUUGGACUGUAAGAGUGGAUGGGAACCAAACAGGAAGAGGAACAGGAAGGGAGAAACUGUGGUCGAGAUAAACAAAAGGAACUACACUUCAGCAGCCAGAGAACAGGUUAAAGUUUCCACGAAUCAGAGGGGGGGAAAUGGAGACGAGGACAAAAGGUCGGCAUAAAUGUGAAAACUUUUCAUCCGUUUGUUCUGCAGGCUGAAGGAGCCUGGGAAGAACCUUCAAACUCACAUGUGGCGUCCAAAUGGGCCGAUCCCAAAUGCUCUGCAAUACGCAGCCAAAAGUAUUCCAGCUAUUUAUUGCAUUAGUUCAGGCAUCUGAGCUGAGGACUCUUUAAAUACUUCUGUAAAACCUUAAAAAUUUUAACGGGAGGCUUCGAGGUCUGUUUCACACACGCAGGUUUUGGGUGAAAACUUGGAUUAAGAGUCUCUGUGAGCCAUAAAAGGAACAUAAGAGGCCAUUUCUAAACUCACACAGCGAGAGGAAUCAGAUUUUCCCUUCAGCGGAAAUUCACCAUCGCUUGUGUCAACCGCUGGGAGGAAGUGGACGGUUGCUAUGACUACAGCAGAGAUGGAGAGAAACACMGUGACUCAGUGGUUUCCAUGGAAACCAGGGACUUUCCCCCAGGCGAACCUCGGCUGGAUGGCGGGAGGAGUUUGCUGCGUCCCGAUCAAAAGCUCCAACUGCGUCUAUUCUGAGUCGGCUCUGCCUGGUAGAAAACUAUCUGGAGUCCCUCCAACACAUUUCAGCAGAUGAUAAGGGAGGAAUGUGGAGGCCAGAAACAUGUAGCUUCAUGCUUGACAUCCACAAAGAUCAGCAGAGAGGAAUUCAGCCCGAGGGGUCGGCUUCGCCAAGGAGAGGACUUCCUGUUUGGGAAUCAAACAGUUCAUCAGACUGAAAAGUCUGAAGGUCUCCACCAAAUCCUGGGGAUUUUUUAAAAUUAUUUUCCAUUUUGA